rnacentral:lncRNA from 1 species
GAUUAUAAAGUAUUGUUCCAUAAGUAAAAAACGUUCGUAAUCAGAAUCGACGGAAUUUGAAAAUUAUGUUCCAAUUACUACCUUUGUAAGGUCUUAUGAGACCAAUUUAUAAAUAAAAAAAUAUAAAAUAAAACUCAUGGACAAAAAUUACUCAAACAUAGCAAAAUCGAAUUCAAGAUAUAUAAGGUUUUUGGAGAUA